rnacentral:rRNA from 1 species
GAUCUGAAAUCAGGUAGGGCUACCCGCUGAACUUAAGCAUAUCAAUAAGCGGAGGAAAAGAAACUAACAAGGAUUCCCCUAGUAACGGCGAGUGAAGCGGGAAGAGCUCAAAUUUAAAAUCUGGUUUGCUUUGCAAAUCCGAGUUGUAGUCUGAAGAAACGUUUUCCAUGAAAGCUGAGGCACAAGUCCUUUGGAACAGGGCAUCAUAGAGGGUGAGAAUCCCGUCCAUGGUCUCAAGCCUUUCAUUUUGUGAUACGUUUUCUAAGAGUCAGGUUGUUUGGGAAUGCAGCCUAAAAUGGGUGGUAAAUUUCAUCUAAAGCUAAAUAUUGGCGAGAGACCGAUAGCGAACAAGUACCGUGAGGGAAAGAUGAAAAGAACUUUGAAAAGAGAGUUAAAAAGUACGUGAAAUUGUUGAAAGGGAACCGUUUGAAGCCAG